rnacentral:rRNA from 1 species
UAGAGGGUGCAAGCGUUGUUCGGAAUUAUUGGGCGUAAAGGGCGCGUAGGCGGUUCGGCAAGUCUCUAGUGAAAUCUCUGGGCUCAACUCAGAGUCUGCUGGGGAAACUGCCGGGCUUGAGUGUGGGAGAGGAGAGUGGAAUUCCCGGUGUAGCGGUGGAAUGCGUAGAUAUCGGGAGGAACACCUGUGGCGAAAGCGGCUCUCUGGACCACAACUGACGCUGAGGCGCGAAAGCUAGGGGAGCAAACAGGAUUAGAUACCCUGGUAGUCCUAGCCCUAAACGAUGAUUGCUUGCUGUGAUCGGUACCCAAUCCGAUCGUGGCGAAGCUAACGCGAUAAGCAAUCCGCCUGGGGAGUACGGUCGCAAGGCUG